AUUGAACGCUGGCGGCAUGCUUUACACAUGCAAGUCGAACGGUAACAGGCCGCAAGGUGCUGACGAGUGGCGAACGGGUGAGUAAUGCAUCGGAACGUGCCCAGUCGUGGGGGAUAACUGCUCGAAAGAGCAGCUAAUACCGCAUACGAUCUAUGGAUGAAAGCGGGGGACCGUAAGGCCUCGCGCGAUUGGAGCGGCCGAUGUCAGAUUAGGUAGUUGGUGGGGUAAAGGCUCACCAAGCCAACGAUCUGUAGCUGGUCUGAGAGGACGACCAGCCACACUGGGACUGAGACACGGCCCAGACUCCUACGGGAGGCAGCAGUGGGGAAUUUUGGACAAUGGGGGCAACCCUGAUCCAGCAAUGCCGCGUGCAGGAAGAAGGCCUUCGGGUUGUAAACUGCUUUUGUACGGAACGAAACGGUCUGGGUUAAUACCCUGGGCUAAUGACGGUAUCGUAAGAAUAAGCACCGGCUAACUACGUGCCAGCCGCCGCCGUAAAAC
rnacentral:rRNA from 1 species